rnacentral:rRNA from 1 species
UACGUAGGGGGCAAGCGUUGUCCGGAAUCAUUGGGCGUAAAGAGCGUGUAGGCGGUUCGGUAAGUCGGCUGUGAAAGUCCAGGGCUCAACCCUGGGCUGCCGGUCGAUACUGCCGGACUAGAGUUCGGAAGAGGCGAGUGGAAUUCCCGGUGUAGCGGUGAAACUGCGCAGAUAUCGGGAGGAACACCUAUGGCGAAGGCAGCUCGCUGGGACGUUACUGACGCUGAGACGCGAAAGCGUGGGGAGCAAACAGG